rnacentral:rRNA from 1 species
UACGGAGGGUGCAAGCGUUAUUCGGAAUUAUUGGGCGUAAGGGGCGUGUAGGCGGCCAGAUAAGUCAGAGGUGAAAGCCCAGGGCUCAACCCUGGAAGUGCCUUUGAAACUGUUUGGCUUGAGUGCGGGAGAGGAAAGCGGAAUUCCCAGUGUAGAGGUGAAAUUCGUAGAUAUUGGGAGGAACACCGGUGGCGAAGGCGGCUUUCUGGACCGACACUGACGCUGAGGCGCGAAAGCGUGGGGAGCAAACAGG